rnacentral:misc_RNA from 1 species
GAUGAAGAACGUAGCGAAAUGCGAUAAGUAGUGUGAAUUGCAGAAUUCAGUGAAUCAUCGAAUCUUUGAACGCACAUUGCGCCCGGUAGUAUUCUGCCGGGCAUGCCUGUUCGAGCGUCAUUUCAACCAUCAAGCCCCAGCGCUUGUGUUGGGGGCCUGCGGCUGCCGCAGCCCCCUAAAAGCAGUGGCGGGCUCGCUAUCACACCGAGUGCAGUAGUUCAUCUUCUCUCCGGUCUUGUGAGGCGGGUUCCGGCCGUGAAACACCCCACUACAUUUCAAGGUUGACCUCGGAUCAGGUAGGAAUACCCGCUGAACUUAAGCAUAUCAAUAAGCGGAGGA